rnacentral:lncRNA from 1 species
UCCAUUGGGUGGUCGAGAGAGCCAAGAUAUCCACCGAGUUCUGACAGAGAAAGGGACUCCGUUGAGAGGCCGAGAGAGCCAAGAUAUCCGCGUGACGCGCCAUCUCAUGGCGAGGACCUCAGAGACCGGCUGAACAGGCCGCCUCAUGAGAGGACGCCUGGCAGCGGCGCGUUCUUCGUCAACAACGGCGCGGACUCCCAGGCCAGGGGGCAGCGGAUGGAGCACAGGCAGCUACAGAUGAUCAACCGCACCAUCAACGACGACAUGGACUCCCUCUCCGUCGGGAGCCACGAGUCCUCCGAGCAGCCCCGUGUCAGCGUGCGGACCAUACACAACAGACCAAGGACCAGAAUAAACCUGGGCUGGUAGCCAGCCAUAUCAUGUGUGACCGACCGUGUCUGUACUCAAAAUCUUGGGAUGCAAUGUCGGAAAAGUUUAUCGAUACCUGGAAACUGGAAAGGGGAAGUUGAGAUGUACAUUUCAGGAACUGAAUUCACUGAUAGAUACUGUAGUCAGGAGCCUAUUGUGUAGAUAAUCAGAGCUGUUAUUUUUUCCUGGAAUGCUGUAAUUGUGUCUUGGUGUGGAUGUUGUGUUGCGUUGGCGCGAUUAUUGAUGACUGAAUAAUAUUGGCUGGGUGUAGGGCAGGAGUUUUUCCUGGAAUUAAUAUGCUGUGAUUGUGUCUUCAGUAACAUUUUGCUCUUUAUAUUUGGAAAGAGAUAGCAGUAACAUUUUGCUUUUGGCCUGUGAAAUUUUAUUAUUUGUGCUGCUUUGGUUUGAGGGAAAGAUUGUGUGCUUGUUUUUGUUUUUAUGCCUAGAAGGAUUUGUGAGAUCUGAAUUCACUGAUAGAUACUGUAGUCAGGAGCCUAUUGUGUAGAUAAUCAGAGCUGUUAUUUUUUCCUGGAAUGCUGUAAUUGUGUCUUGGUGUGGAUGUUGUGUUGCGUUGGCGCGAUUAUUGAUGACUGAAUAAUAUUGGCUGGGUGUAGGGCAGGAGUUUUUCCUGGAAUUAAUAUGCUGUGAUUGUGUCUUCAGUAACAUUUUGCUCUUUAUAUUUGGAAAGAGAUAGCAGUAACAUUUUGCUUUUGGCCUGUGAAAUUUUAUUAUUUGUGCUGCUUUGGUUUGAGGGAAAGAUUGUGUGCUUGUUUUUGUUUUUAUGCCUAGAAGGAUUUGUGAGAUCUGNNNNNNNNNNGUGAAGCCUAUUCAUAGAUCUAUCUCAAGGUGAAAUUUCUAAUGGCAGGACAGGAAAGGAAAUCCACCAGGCAUCAUUCGAACUUUUGUUUCUGAUCCGAUCCCUGAACUAUUUAAGGUCAUGAUCAAGAGAUUGGUAAGGUGGCGUAUUCUGCCAACGGAUUGUGUGCCAGACAGUUGCAUUGUCAACAUGUAUGACCCUGGAGAUUGCAUUCCACCACAUAUAGACAGCCAUGAUUUUGUUCGACCAUUUUGUACUGUUUCAUUCCUCAGUGAAUGCGACAUACUUUUUGGGUCUAGUCUGAAAAUCGCUGGUCCUGGAGAAUUUACGGGCUCAUUUGCAAUUCCUCUGCCUGUUGGGUAUGUUGGUUAUCUUCUCUCGAUUUUCCUCUAUGCUUAUGAAUAUCAUGCAGAAUUGACACUUCCUUUUGCAUGUAGUAUUCACACUUAAUUAUGUAGUGUAUGGAUAGGUCUGAAACUCUGAAUUGAUUAUAUUCCUGGAGAUUUGAGAAUUUUGAUUGCAUAUGAAUUCAAAGACCGUGUCUGAUUCAUUUGCUUACUGCAUGACAUCUUGACUGUACAUGUGUGGAUAGUUUUGAUUUUAUUUUAUUUUUUGACAUUCCGAAGUUCUGAUCUCAUAUGAAUACCAAUAUCAUGCAAAGUCCGUUUGAUACAUGUAAAUGAUAUUGCUUGCUGCAUAGCACAUUGAGGUGCUGAGCUUGUUAGCUUUGAUCUGAAGUUAUCUCAAGUUUGUGCCAAGAUAAGCUAUUUUCUAAUGAUUAUGAGCCAUUUUCUAGUGAUUUUCUUUUUUAUUGUUAUCUUGUCUUUGUUUCUUUACCUGGGUGUCAUGAAUUGUAUGUGAUGUGUGCAGUGAUCUCUGUAGUUUUAUGCUGUCAUUCUUUGCUUCCUUUGCUGAACACUAAAUGUGAACAUUCACAGGUCUGUGCUCGUCAUAAAUGGCAAUGGUGCUGAUGUUGCAAAGCAUUGUGUUCCAGCGGUACCAUCCAAAAGGUUAUAGUUGUAUGUUGCAUUAUUUUUCUGAACUUGAUUUGUUCACCUCUGACAUUAUGCUGGAACUCUGAUUGAUGUACAGGAUAUCCAUUACCUUCAGAAAAAUGGAUCCUGCAAAGCGUCCGUUCAGUUUCAAGGAUGACCCUGAACUGCUGAACAUCACUCCUCUCGAAGCACCAGCUGCACCCGAAACUAGCAGAUCCUCGGAUGAAGGCAAGGGGAAGCAGCUUGGCGUACAAACUCGGGAUCCAGGCAGCAGAUCAUCCAGAAGCAGGAAAUCCAAAGGAAGAACGACACCUGCUGGAAAGGUUGGAUGGGGGGGCAUUCUUGGAGACCAACCUCCACAGCACCCACAGAGCCCUAUCUCCAGUGUGAGCUCUGACAGAGAGAGGGACUCCAUUGGGAGGUCGAGAGAGCCAAGAUAUCCACCGAGUUCUGACAGAGAAAGGGACUCCGUUGAGAGGCCGAGAGAGCCAAGAUAUCCGCGUGACGCGCCAUCUCAUGGCGAGGACCUCAGAGACCGGCUGAACAGGCCGCCUCAUGAGAGGACGCCUGGCAGCGGCGUGUUCUUCGUCAACAACGGCGCGGACUCCCAGGCCAGGGGGCAGCGGAUGGAGCACAGGCAGCUACAGAUGAU